CUAUUGGUCAAUGAGUUUCAAUUUAGUUCCAUUUUUACCUCGACUAUUAGAAUCCUCCCUGCGCAAGGAUGACACGCAAAUUCGUGAAGCGUUCCAAAUUUUU
rnacentral:snRNA from 1 species